UAGGGAAUCUUCGGCAAUGGACGAAAGUCUGACCGAGCAACGCCGCGUGAGUGAAGAAGGGUUUCGGCUCGUAAAACACUGUUGUAAGAGAAGAAUGACAUUGAGAGUAACUGUUCAAUGUGUGACGGUAUCUUACCAGAAAGGAACGGCUAAAUACGUG
rnacentral:rRNA from 1 species